GUAGGUGAACCUGCGGAAGGAUCAUUACCUUCAGAGUAGCUUGAGCGUUUCCCCCCUCCCAGCCUUGUGCUGGGAGCCUUGCUCGAUCGUCCCCUGCCUGCCUGUCAGGGCCUAGCUCCUGUUAGCAGGACAGUGACGGAUGAUUGACGGGGAGGGAAACCUCUAAUUCUCAUCCUUGUGACAGUACCCAGCGUAACUGCAAGAAACCAUCCCUAACGGGCUGCGAUUAUCAGUACAUCAUUACACCCGA
rnacentral:misc_RNA from 1 species